UCUGAGGACGACCAACAGAAGCAACAGUCUCCUCUGCUGCAACCAACAGGGUGGAGUUUAUUUUCUCCUUGUAUGAACUUUCUUCAUAUUGUCUCUCUGUCUCCUCCUCCAGUGGGUCGAGUGGCCCCCACCCUGACGGUGCUGCCCCCCUCCAGUGAGGAGCUGCAGCAGGAGAAGGUCACAGUCCUGUGCCUGGCCAACAAGGGCUUCCCCUCAGACUGGAGUCUGGCCUGGAAGGUGGAGGGCAGCAGCAGCAGCAGCAGCAGCUGGGAGGAGAGCAGGAGCCCCGGGGUGCUGGAGAAGGACGGCCUCUACAGCUGGAGCAGCACCCUGAGGCUCCCUGCAGACCAGUGGAGCAAGCUGGGCUCUGUGACCUGUGAGGCCACCCAGGGCUCCCAGACUCCGCUCUCAGAGACACUGAGGAGAGACCAGUGUUCCCAGUCCUGACCUGACUCACUGGGACUCUUUUACUGGUUUAACUCUGCUCCUGCUCUCUCUCUCUGCUCUCUGUAACACUGUCUCUCUCUCUUUUAUUUCACAUGUUUCACUAACAAUAUUUACCAGCUUC